UACAGAGGUCCCAAGCGUUGUUCGGAUUCACUGGGCGUAAAGGGUGCGUAGGCGGUCGGGUAAGUCUGGCGUGAAAUCUCCAAGCCUAACUUGGAAACUGCGUUGGAUACUAUCCGGCUCGAGGAAUGGAGGGGAGACUGGAAUACUUGGUGUAGCAGUGAAAUGCGUAGAUAUCAAGUGGAACACCAGUGGCGAAGGCGAGUCUCUGGACAUUUCCUGACGCUGAGGAGCGGAAGCGUGGGGAGCGAACAGG
rnacentral:rRNA from 1 species